rnacentral:rRNA from 1 species
AGGAAUCUGCCUAUUAGUGGGGGACAACAUUUCGAAAGGAAUGCUAAUACCGCAUACGUCCUACGGGAGAAAGCAGGGGAUCUUCGGACCUUGCGCUAAUAGAUGAGCCUAAGUCGGAUUAGCUAGUUGGUGGGGUAAAGGCCUACCAAGGCGACGAUCUGUAGCGGGUCUGAGAGGAUGAUCCGCCACACUGGGACUGAGACACGGCCCAGACUCCUACGGGAGGCAGCAGUGGGGAAUAUUGGACAAUGGGCGCAAGCCUGAUCCAGCCAUGCCGCGUGUGUGAAGAAGGCCUUAUGGUUGUAAAGCACUUUAAGCGAGGAGGAGGCUACUGAAGUUAAUACCUUCAGAUAGUGGACGUUACUCGCAGAAUAAGCACCGGCUAACUCUGUGCCAGCAGCCGCGGUAAUACAGAGGGUGCAAGCGUUAAUCGGAUUUACUGGGCGUAAAGCGCGCGUAGGCGGCUAAUUAAGUCAAAUGUGAAAUCCCCGAGCUUAACUUGGGAAUUGCAUUCGAUACUGGUUAGCUAGAGUCUUGUAGAGGGGGGUAGAAUUCCAGGU